rnacentral:rRNA from 1 species
AAGCGUAUAUUAAAGUUGUUGCAGUUAAAACGCUCGUAGUCGGGUUUCGGGUCGGGCCGAGCGGUCUGCCGAUGGGUAUGCACUGUUUGGCGCGGCCUUCUUUCCGGAGACCGCGGCUACUCUUAACUGAGCGGGCGUGGGAGACGGAUCGUUUACUUUGAAAAAAUCAGAGUGUUUCAAGCAGGCAGCUCGCUCUUGCAUGGUACAGCAUGGGAUGAUUAAAUAGGACUCCGGUGCUAUUUUGUUGGUUUCGAACACCAGGAGUAAUGAUUAACAGGGACAGUCAGGGGCACUCGUAUUCCGUCGAGAGAGGUGAAAUUCUCAGACCAAUGGAAGACGAACCACUGCGAAAGCAUUUG